AGCAGCCGCGGUAAUUCCAGCUCCAAUAGCGUAUAUUAAAGUUGUUGCAGUUAAAAAGCUCGUAGUUGAAUUUCGGGGUUCUACCGUUGGUCGGGCUUUGUCUGUACUGGCUUGUAGAAUUUCUACCUUCUGGGGAACUAUCAUGUUAUUAAUUUAACGUGGUGGGAAACCAGGACCUUUACCUUGAAAAAAUUAGAGUGUUCAAAGCAGGCUUAUGUCUGAAUACAUUAGCAUGGAAUAAUAGAAUAGGACGGUGGUCCUGUUUUGUUGGUUUCUGAAUCACCGUAAUGAUUAAUAGGGAUAGUUGGGGGCAUUAGUAUUCAAUUGUCAGAGGUGAAAUUCUUGGAUUGAU
rnacentral:rRNA from 1 species